AGCUGGUGUUGUGAAUCAGGC
rnacentral:ncRNA from 11 species